rnacentral:rRNA from 1 species
AGAGUUUGAUCAUGGCUCAGAGCGAACGCUGGCGGCGUACUUAACACAUGCAAGUCGAACGAGGAUCUUCAGUGUAGCAAUACAUCGGAGGUCCUAGUGGCGCACGGGUGAGUAACACGUGGGUGACCUGCCCUUGAGCUCGGGAUACCCCCUCGAAAGGGGGGCUAAUACCGGAUACGUUCCUCGGUCGAAAGAUUGGGGAGGAAAGGUGGCGCAAGCUGCCGCUCUUGGAGGGGCUCGCGGCCUAUCAGCUAGUUGGCGGGGUAACGGCCCACCAAGGCUAUGACGGGUAGCUGGUCUGAGAGGACGACCAGCCACACGGGGACUGAGACACGGCCCCGACUCCUACGGGAGGCAGCAGUGGGGAAUUUUCCGCAAUGGGCGAAAGCCUGACGGAGUGACGCCGCGUGUGGGACGAAGGCCUUCGGGUCGUAAACCACUGUCAGUGGGAAAGAUGGGUGUCGGUGUUAAUACCAUCGGCAUCUGACGGUACCUGCAGAGGAAGCCCCGGCCAACUCUGUGCCAGCAGCCGCGGUAAGACAGAGGGGGCAAGCGUUGCUCGGAAUUACUGGGCGUAAAGGGCGCGUAGGCGGGAUGGUAAGUCGGUCGUGAAAUCCCUCGGCUCAACCGAGGAACGUCGAUCGAUACUACCGUUCUUGAGGGUUGCAGAGGAGACUGGAAUUCCCGGUGUAGCGGUGAAAUGUGUAGAGAUCGGGAGGAACACCGGUGGCGAAGGCGGGUCUCUGGGCAAUUCCUGACGCUGAGGCGCGAAAGCGUGGGGAGCAAACGGGAUUAGAUACCCCGGUAGUCCACGCUGUAAACGAUGAGCACUAGGUGUGGGGGGGUUCAGUCCCUUCCGUGCCGCAGCUAACGCAUUAAGUGCUCCGCCUGGGGGAGUACGGCCGCAAGGUUGAACUCAAGGAAUUGACGG